CGGCAGGGCAGUCUUUGUCAGCACAGCAGUGCGAAAACGCGAGGUUUGUCUUGGAGCUUAUCCAGCAAGCAACGUGCCUACAUUGUUAUGGGGGUUUAUUGCUCCUGCAGCAAGGAAAGCUGGAUCGCUGUUGAUGGUUUUUUACCGAUUGUGGUCCACUGAUCUACUCUGACUUCAUCUGUUGCUACUACUACUGCUUCAAGUCAACUACAUCAAAAAAUCAACGCCACUGAAAUCCAUAAAAAGACAAGAUGAGUGGAAACCUGUGUCCGUGUACAGUCCUUCUCUUUCAAGUGCGGGAAACCCAGUGCUUACAUACAGUUGACAGCCAAAAAACGCUAGAGUGCACCCGUUGCACCAGUGAGCUGCUGCCAAUGGACCACUGCCCAACUAUUUUAUCAUUAUCACCCUGCUGACAAGUGGACAACCGCCUGCUGCCAGUGACCUGGAUGUAAAGACGCACUCUCAUCACAACCCAACUGAGAAGCAAGACACCUCACCUGGGGGC